UUACUCUUUCUCAAUCACCCACACGAUUUCAUCCUUCCAAUUUCUUCUUCACUCCUCAUUCUCAUCUAACAAUCUUCCCUUUCUUCUCUGAACAGUCGCUGCCACCACCACCACCAUCGUCCCUCGUGCCCAGCCUGUGCCCGCCACCAUCGUCGUCACUCCUCACUUUCUUCAAACACUGUUAUGCUUGCUACCACCGUUGGGAGUCCUUUUCUUCAACCAUGUUCAUGUCCAGCCCUCGCCACCAUCGUCGCCGUCUACGUUUAUCUCACAAGCUCCAAUCUGUUGGUUUGUGGCCAGAUCUGUUGCAGAAGAGUCAAUUAGCUGUUGCAGAUAUAUGAUGUUUUUUGCACUUUACUACAUCGGCGAGCCAGAUCUACAAUAUACUUAAGAAAAUUGAAUAUCCCCCAUACUAAACUUGCUUCAUAUGCUGCAGAUUAUGCUGGAAAAAGUUUGGGUGGGAGAACUCGAAGGCAGAUGAAUUGCUUUUGCCAGUCCUGAAAGAGUACAACGAACAUGAGUGUUGCUGUCUAUAACUAACACUGGCCGUGGAGUUGGGGUCCAGUGUGUGUGGUGUGGAAGAAGUUGAACUUAUUGCGCGGAGGUAGAGUUUCAGAGCUUGGAGAAGUGACUUUGAAAAUUUGGGGUUUUUGCUUUAGGGUUGUCGGCGAAAAGAAUGGUAAGUUUGAAUUGGGAAUUUUGCUUACUCUUUCAUCUCUGUAUGUUGCUUUGUGUAAACUUAAUUCUUUUGAAAGACUAAUUUUCAGUUUCAUGGGGUUUGCGGAAACUGAUUUAUCACCAACAUUUUCUUUUUUCUCAAAAUGUGAAGCUGUUUCUAAAGGCUUUUUACUUCUUCGUGUCAAUGAAGUAAUAACUAUGUUGGUUGUUAUGUGCUCUCUAUUUGCACUUUGCCACAUCAGUUAUUGAAGAAAUGAAAAAUUCUUUGGGAAUUCACUGCUUCAGGAUAAUGAAGAAAGAAAGCUGAAAUCCGUCUGUUAUUCUGUAAUGAGUAUUGGCUUCAAUUGGAAGGAACGAUGUAUUUAGCCACUUCAGAACCUCGGCUGCCUUCAAGUAGAUUAUACAUUCAUUUGUAGAAAAGCAUAUUUUCCCUCUCUCUUUCCAUUAGCUUCCAAGUCUUCAUCCACUCAUGGAGAACCUGAAGAAGUCAGUGAUCAAAAUCGCUUACAGCAGAGACCAUGCUGACCUCUCUCAUCUGCAUCGCUCUUUCAUCCCCUUCCUCUACAUGGCGUCUUCUCUCUACAAGCUCGCUCUCUCCCUUCGUCACCGUUUCUACCUCUACGGCAUACUCCGCAAGCCUCGAUAAUUGAAGUCAUAUCGGGUUGAAAGCUAAGCGAUUGUGCAGAGAUGGCCAAGCGACCGUUGAAAAUUGAAGAUUGAGAAGGCAUUUAGGAUUUUUAAUUAUUUAAUUCUUGUAUUAGAAUCUUUUUUCAUGUACUAUCGUAGAAUGUAUAUAUAAACAUAAUAUUAAGAUUUUAUUUUGUGUAUGUAAAAGAAAAAUAUUAUAGUUUC